rnacentral:rRNA from 1 species
UAGUCCACGCCGUAAACGAUGGAUACUAGCUGUCGGGACCUCGGUCUCGGCGGCCAAGCGAAAGUGAUAAGUAUCCCACCUGGGGAGUACGUUCGCAAGAAUGAAACUCAAAGGAAUUGACGGGGGCCCGCACAAGCGGUGGAGCAUGUGGUUUAAUUCGAUGAUACGCGAGGAACCUUACCAGGGCUUAAAUGUAGUCUGACAGGACCAGAGAUGGUUUUUUCUCGGACAGAUUACAAGGUGCUGCAUGGUUGUCGUCAGCUCGUGCCGUGAGGUGUCAGGUUAAGUCCUAUAACGAGCGCAACCCCUACCGUUAGUUGCCAGCGAGUAAUGUCGGGGACUCUAACGGGACUGCCGGUGCAAACCGCGAGGAAGGUGGGGACGACGUCAAAUCAUCACGGCCCUUACGUCCUGGGGCCACACACGUGCUACAAUGGCCGGUACAGAGGGGAAGCCACCACGCAAGUGGGCGCGGAUCUACAAAGCCGGUCACAGUUCGGAUCGGGGUCUGCAACUCGA